rnacentral:rRNA from 1 species
GAUGAACGCUGGCGGCGUGCCUAAUACAUGCAAGUCGAGCGAACGGACGAGAAGCUUGCUUCUCUGAUGUUAGCGGCGGACGGGUGAGUAACACGUGGAUAACCUACCUAUAAGACUGGGAUAACUUCGGGAACCCGGAGCUAAUACCGGAUAAUAUUUUGAACCGCAUGGUUCAAAAGUAAAAGCCGGUCUUGCUGUCCCUUAUAGAUGGAUCCGCGCUGCAUUAGCUAGUUGGUAAGGUAACGGCUUACCAAGGCAACGAUGCAUAGCCGACCUGAGAGGGUGAUCGGCCACACUGGAACUGAGACACGGUCCAGACUCCUACGGGAGGCAGCAGUAGGGAAUCUUCCGCAAUGGGCGAAAGCCUGACGGAGCAACGCCGCGUGAGUGAUGAAGGUCUUCGGAUCGUAAAACUCUGUUAUUAGGGAAGAACAUAUGUGUAAGUAACUGUGCACAUCUUGACGGUACCUAAUCAGAAAGCCACGGCUAACUACGUG